UUUAGUUCGAUGAUACGCGAGGAACCUUACCUAGGCUAGAAUGCGCGUGACCGGCUCAGAGAUGAGCCUUUCCUUCGGGACGCAAAGCAAGGUGCUGCAUGGCCGUCGUCAGCUCGUGCCGUGAGGUGUUGGGUUAAGUCCCCCAACGAGCGCAACCCCUAUGUUUAGUUGCCAUCAGGUUAUGCUGGGGACUCUAAACAGACUGCCUGCGCAAGCAGUGAGGAAGGCGGGGACGACGUCAGGUCAUCAUGGCCCUUACGCCUAGGGCUACACACGUGCUACAAUGGGCGGUACAGAGGGUCGCUACCUGGUGACAGGAUGCCAAUCUCAAAAAACCGUUCUCAGUUCGGAUUGAAGUCUGCAACUCGACUUCAUGAAGCUGGAAUCACUAGUAAUCGCGUAUCAGCCAUGACG
rnacentral:rRNA from 1 species